AAACAUACAAUGACAUAGAUGCUGUUACACGUCUUCUUGAAGAGAAAGAACGGGACUUAGAAUUAGCUGCUCGGAUUGGCCAGUCGCUGUUAAAGAAGAAUAAAUCACUGACAGAAAGAAAUGAGUUCCUGGAGGAGCAAGUAGAACACAUCAGGGAAGAGGUUUCUCAGUUGCGGCAUGAGCUCUCCAUGAAAGAUGAGCUGCUCCAGUUCUAUACCA